CCUCCUCUUUUUGGCAGGGGUAAGGCGUGCGGUCCCGAUCCCUGUAAUGCAGGGAGGGAGAGGAAAAGGGCUCCAGCGCCCUCAGUGUCAUGUCGUUGGUGCUGACGGUUUCCAGUCUGCAGGUUCUAUCCUCAUGCACCAGGACACAA